rnacentral:tRNA from 1 species
AUAAAUAGUUUAAACUCUAAAACAUACACUGAAAAUGUUAAAUGACUUAGUCUUUUUCCAAAUUA